UCAUCGAUGAGGACUCCAAAGAAACAUUCUUUGGAAAGCUGAACAAAAUGAGUGAAAACUCUAUACCAUCAUCCUCAUCGAACUGAGGUCU
ensembl:snoRNA SNORD116 Small nucleolar RNA SNORD116